rnacentral:rRNA from 1 species
UAUGGGGGGAGCAAGCGUUGUUCGGAUUUACUGGGCGUAAAGGGCGCGUAGGCGGCCACCGCAAGUCAGUUGUGAAAUCUCUGGGCUUAACCCAGAAAGGUCAACUGAUACUGCGGGGCUAGAGUGCAGAAGGGGCAACUGGAAUUCUCGGUGUAGCGGUGAAAUGCGUAGAUAUCGAGAGGAACACCUGCGGCGAAGGCGGGUUGCUGGGCUGACACUGACGCUGAUGCGCGAAAGCUAGGGGAGCGAACGGG